AUUCCAGCUCCAAUAGCGUAUAUUAAAGUUGUUGCAGUUAAAAAGCUCGUAGUUGGAUUUCUGGUCUGAUGCCCUGGCCCGCCUCAAUUUCGAGGUGAGUGCCGGCUGUGCGUCUACCAUCCUUCUAGAAAACGUUCCUACCCUUCACUGGGCCGGGUUCGCGAUCUAGAUCUUUUACUUUGAAAAAAUUAGAGUGUUUAAAGCAGGCUUUUGCUAUGAAUACAUUAGCAUGGAAUAAUAAUCUAGGACUUCGGUUCUAUUUUGUUGGUUUCUAGUACUGAAGUAAUGAUUGAUAGGGAUAGUUGGGGGUGCUAGUAUUGAGCGGCCAGAGGUGAAAUUCUUGGAUUCGCUCAAGACUAACUUAUGCGAAAGCAUUCACCAAGGAUGUCUUCAUUA
rnacentral:rRNA from 1 species